rnacentral:rRNA from 1 species
UACGAAGGGGGCUAGCGUUGUUCGGAAUCACUGGGCGUAAAGGGCGCGUAGGCGGCUUUAUAAGUCGGGGGUGAAAGCCUGUGGCUCAACCACAGAACUGCCUUCGAUACUGUAGAGCUUGAGACCGGAAGAGGUGAGUGGAAUUCCGAGUGUAGAGGUGAAAUUCGUAGAUAUUCGGAAGAACACCAGUGGCGAAGGCGGCUCACUGGCCCGUUACCGACGCUCAGGCGCGACAGCGUGGGGAGCAAACAGG